UCUAAUGUGGCAGAAAAAUGCGCUGAAUUUAAGCUUCAGGAAUAAAGUAUAUCUUUCUUUAGAA
rnacentral:tRNA from 1 species